rnacentral:rRNA from 1 species
AACGUAGGUGGCAAGCGUUAUCCGGAUUUACUGGGCGUAAAGCGUGUGCAGGCGGGGGUACAGGAGGUGGAUGAAAUUUCCCAGCUUAACUGGGAAGGGUUAUGCCAGACUGUACUUCUGGAGUGCGAGAGAGGGGCGUGGAAUUCCUGGUGUAGCGGUGAAAUGCGCAGAUAUCAGGAGGAACACCGGUGGCGAAGGCGGGUCUCUGGGCCGAUACUGACGCUGAGGAGCGAAAGCGUGGGGAGCGAACAGG